rnacentral:rRNA from 1 species
AUAUUAAAGUUGUUGCAGUUAAAAAGCUCGUAGUUGGAUUUCUGGCCUGACAUGUCUGACCCGCCACAGUUAUGUGUGUGAGUGUCGGUCUCGUGUCUGCCAUCCUUCUGGAAAACGUGUCGGCCAUUUAUUUGGUCUGAUGCGCGAUCCAGAUCUUUUACUUUGAAGAAAUUGGAGUGUUCAAAGCAGGCUUGCGCUAUGAAUACAUUAGCAUGGAAUAAUAAUCUAGGACUCCGGUUCUAUUUUGUUGGUUUCUAGGACUGAAGUAAUGAUUAAUAGGGAUAGUUGGGGGUGCUAGUAUUCAGCGGCCAGAGGUGAAAUUCUUGGAUUCGCUGAAGACUAACUUAUGCGAAAGCAUUCACCAAGGAUGUCUUCUUUAAUCAAGAACGAAAGUUGGGGGAUCGAAGACGAUCAGAUACCGUCGUAGUCUCAACCAUAAACUAUACCGACUAAGGAUGAGUGAACGUUGUAUUCUCGACUUCAUUCGCACUUUAUGAGAAAUCAAAGUCUUUGGGUUCCGGGGGGAGUAUGGUCGCAAGGCUGAAAC